GAAUGAAAUGAUGGUUAAUAAGAUUAUCUAUCAGUUUGAUUUGUCAUCAAAAUGGCAAAAUAAGUAUUAGUUAUGUUUGAUCGUUC